AAUAUUCGCCGGUGAGCGCGCGCUGGCGCUGGCGCUGGAUAUGGCACGACUGGAGCGGAGUGCUAACCGGAAUACGGGUAAGUUGGUGGGAGUCGCGGACCGACCGUGUCGUGUUACAGGAAUUGUGUUAGUAAAUAUGUGUAAUUGUAAAUAUGAACAUAUGUAUGAUUGUGAAUGUAUGUUUAAUAUGGAUUUAAUUUGUAUAUUUGUUUGUAAGCAUGUGGGGAACUAUGGUUAUUGGGUAGAUUCGGAAUAUAGAUGUACCAGUAUAUGGAUGAUGCGUAGUGUGCAAGUGUAUAAAUAUUUAAGCAGAUGUACAAAACCGUAUAUUUGUUGUGCGCGGAAACAUGCAAGCGCUUAGAAAAUAUGCUUGUGGUUUGUGGGACAUGCAAGCAUUAACAAAUAUGUAUGUUUGUGGACUAUGCAAGCAUCAAAACAUACGUUUGUUGUAAGUGACGGUGAUUAUGCAGUGAUAGUGCGUUAGGACGGCAAGUCCAGUUGUGUUUUUCACUGGACACUUGUUGCACAUAUGAAUGAACACGUCCCAAGUAUGCCGGUAUGCAAUCGCGAACGGACAGAUUGGUUCUAUACUGCUAAUUCGUGCACUUUAUGUAUUUUUGGUUGAGCUGACCGGCGCGGUAUCAGCCGUAUACGAAUGGGGCCCUUGGAUCAGGGACGGAAAGCGGGAUGCGGAUUCCGUUUUUGGAAGUCGGCGGACAGACCGACAGAAAAAACCAAUAUGGCGAGUCCAACGCCAGGAACAAGCUGGGGCGAACGGAUGGCUGGCACAAAACGAGGAUGAGUAUGGAUGGAGGUGCCUCAAAAGUAUCCGGCUCGAAGGACCAUGUAAAAGUCGGGGGGCGUCGGGGAUAAAAUGUCCAAACUCCAGUACAAGAACAAAAUGGCGGGAUUUUCAGGUUUCAAAGUGCUCUUCUGCACCGCUCUGGAGCUUAACUAGCGUGUGGGAGAGAGAGGGCGCUGACGUCAGCCGCGCUGUGCUAGCAGAUGUUGCUAGCGAAUGUUGCUAGCAAACGUUGCCAGCCUGCCAUGCAGGCUACUAGCAGUGCUGCCACGUCAACAGGCAUCUUUGGUCCCGUCGUCCUUUUCUUCAGUGGGGGCGUGCGCACAGAUAAGGCUGAUGUUAAAGAAUUUGGCAGUAAUUCGGAUCGUUGCCAGUCUCUCGUUUAUUGGCUGAAAGUGACAGACACGGCGUCGUAACUGAGCGCCAACAACGAAGCCACAACCAAACUCAUGCCGUUGCGGGUGGCAGCUGUAGUAUAUGUCACAUUUGUUUUUCUUUAUGCAGCCCUGGCCUAUCAAUCGCAUUUCCUGGAUAGCAGUAAUGUCAGCCUUACAUUUUUCGAGAGCAUCCGAUAGUUGUUGAGCGGCACCAGGCCUGUACAAUGUUCGUACAUUCCAGGUGCAUACUCUCAAAUCAUUGUCCUUUUUACGUUUGCCAUGGUCGUCAACUUUGUUUUGAAUCCUAUCCGGGGCUCAUCUUGCAUCUUUCAUUGAAUUAGGGUUUUUAUGUGGGUGGAUCUCAAGUCCUACGCCACAACCUAGAUUACGGUUCUAGGGAACCCGCCGCGCACUUUAGUUUGCCACCCAAUGGGUGUUACGUGACAAUCCAUGAGGAACCAAGUGGAGGUAGUGCGUCAACUUAGAGAGAGUAUUGACAAGGAUCAUGCUGGCAUUCACCAAGUUGAAUGCAAUCAGUCACUUUGCCUUGUAUACUCAAUCUCAUCAAUCUCAUACAUGCAUACAUACAUUUACAUUUACAUCAGAAUCGUGUCUAUGCGUGUUUGUGUACUUGUACAUAUGUAUGUAUGUGUGCAUU